CGCGGCCUAUCAGCUUGUUGGUGAGGUAACGGCUCACCAAGGCGACGACGGGUAGCCGGCCUGAGAGGGCGACCGGCCACACUGGGACUGAGACACGGCCCAGACUCCUACGGGAGGCAGCAGUGGGGAAUAUUGCACAAUGGGCGAAAGCCUGAUGCAGCGACGCCGCGUGAGGGAUGACGGCCUUCGGGUUAUAAACCUCUUUCAGCAGGGAAGAAGCGAAAGUGACGGUACCUGCAGAAGAAGCGCCGGCUAACUACGUGCCAGCAGCCGCGGUAAUACGUAGGGCGCAAGCGUUGUCCGGAAUUAUUGGGCGUAAAGAGCUCGUAGGCGGCUUGUCACGUCGGGUGUGAAAGCCCGGGGCUUAACCCCGGGUCUGCAUCCGAUACGGGCAGGCUAGAGUGUGGUAGGGGAGAUCGGAAUUCCUGGUGUAGCGGUGAAAUGCGCAGAUAUCAGGAGGAACACCGGCGGCGAAGGCGGAUCUCUGGGCCAUUACUGACGCUGAGGAGCGAAAGCGUGGGGAGCGAACAGGAUUAGAUACCCUGGUAGUCCACGCCGUAAACGUUGGGAACUAGGUGUUGGCGACAUUCCACGUCGUCGGUGCCGCAGCUAACGCAUUAAGUUCCCCGCCUGGGGAGUACGG
rnacentral:rRNA from 1 species